rnacentral:ncRNA from 1 species
UUAAAAGCUGUGAAGAGGAGUAGUAGACCUCAACUUUCGUCACAGAGAGCCGGCGGUUGGUGCAAGCCGGUACGAAAGCGGUCGAACUCGCCUUGGAGCUGCUCGGGUCAAGCCGCAGCCAUGCGGCCAGCUCGGGUCGUGAACCUGCGUUAAGGGUGAAUGAAGGGCUCGGUCAAGCCGGGCUGAAACAGGGUGGUACCGCGAAGUCUCAAGGCUCUCGCCCCUGAA